CCUACGGGUGGCAGCAGUGGGGAAUAUUGCACAAUGGGGGAAACCCUGAUGCAGCGACGCCGCGUGAAGGACGAAGUAUUUCGGUACGUAAACUUCUAUCAGCAGGGAAGAAAAUGACGGUACCUGACCAAGAAGCCCCGGCUAACUACGUGCCAGCAGCCGCGGUAAUACGUAGGGGGCAAGCGUUAUCCGGAUUUACUGGGUGUAAAGGGAGCGUAGACGGCCAUGCAAGUCUGAUGUGAAAACCCGGGGCUCAACCCCGGGACUGCAUUGGAAACUGUGCGGCUGGAGUGUCGGAGAGGCAAGUGGAAUUCCUAGUGUAGCGGUGAAAUGCGUAGAUAUUAGGAGGAACACCAGUGGCGAAUGCGGCUUGCUGGACGACGACUGACGUUGAGGCUCGAAAGCGUGGGGAGCAAACAGGAUUAGAUACCCGUGUAGUC
rnacentral:rRNA from 1 species